CCGACGCGCCGCUAAAGGGCGAGGCCCGCGGCGGAGAAGGCGGUGGUGGAGGAGGAGCAGCGAGUGCGGCUCGGCUGCUCUUGGACGUGCUGCUCCUCAACUCGGAUGAGACGCUGGCCGAGGGCAUGUUCCGUGGUUCCUUCCGAAGACCAGCGCCCUCCGCCAGCCGCCUGAGAAGGGCCCGCAGCCCGACGCUGAGGCCGCCCGAGACAAUAAGGAUACUGUGCCCAUCAGGAAAAAACUGGGUUUACAUCCUGUCAUACAGAAGCAUAUCAGCCUGGCAGAGCGUGUGGGUGGAGACAAAAACGCUGCCUCGUAACUUCGUCAUGAGCAUGAAAGAAAUACUUGUACAGGACAAUUGCAUCAAGCACGCAGUGACAUCAUCGUGUCCUUCCUCCUUCACCCGGGUUUACUGGUCACCCACGUUACGUGCGGCAGUGGGGCUGCCCCAGGAACACUGGGUUACGAGACACAGCCCGUACCAUCAAAGAGCUCACAGGCUAGUGGGAAAAUAA
rnacentral:lncRNA from 1 species